rnacentral:rRNA from 1 species
CCAAUAGCGUAUAUUAAAGUUGUUGCAGUUAAAAAGCUCGUAGUUGAAUUUCGGGAUUGGCGCGUCGGUCGUGCCUCACGGGGUAUGAACUGGUGCAGUCAAUUUCUCACCUUCUGGAGAACCGCGAUGUCCUUAAUUGGGUGCCGCGGGGAACCAGGACCUUUACUUUGAAAAAAUUAGAGUGUUUAAAGCAGGCAUUUUUGCUUGAAUACAUUAGCAUGGAAUAAUAAAAUAGGACGGCAUGGUUCUAUUUUGUUGGUUUCUAGGACCACCGUAAUGAUUAAUAGGGAUAGUUGGGGGCAUUAGUAUUCAAUUGUCAGAGGUGAAAUUCUUGGAUUUAUUGAAGACUAACUACUGCGAAAGCAUUUGCCAAGGAUGUUUUCAUUAAUCAAGAACGAAAGUUAGGGGAUCGAAGACGAUCAGAUACCGUCGUAGUCUUAACCAUAAACUAUGCCGACUAGGAAUCAGACGAUGUUAAUUUUUUAAUGACUCGUUUGGCACCUUACG